CUGGCGGCAGUAGCGCGGUGGUCCCACCUGACCCCAUGCCGAACUCAGAAGUGAAACGCCGUAGCGCCGAUGGUAGUGUGGGGUCUCCCGCCGGGAGCGGAUUUGAACGUUGCGCAGC
rnacentral:rRNA from 1 species